GGAUUAACUCAGUAGAGACGGCUAAGCAUGUAGUACCGACAGCGGAGUACUGGCGGACGGGGGUUCAAAUCCCCCCGGCUCCACCA
rnacentral:tRNA from 1 species